UUAGAGUUUGAUCAUGGCUCACAACGUACGCUGGCGGCACGCCUAACACAUGCAAGUCGAACGAAGUAGCAAUACUUAGUGGCAGACGGGUGAGUAACAUGUGGGUAUCUGCCCUUUGGCCUGGAAUAACACGAGGAAACUUGUGCUAAUACUGGAUAAGUCUUUACGGAGAAAGCUUUAUGCACCAUUGGAUGAGCCCGCACUUGAUUAGUUUGUUGGUGGGGUAAUGGCCUACCAAGACUUUGAUCAAUAGCUGAUUUGAGAGGAUGAUCAGCCACAUUGGGACUGAGACACGGCCCAAACUCCUACGGGAGGCAGCAGUGGGGAAUCUUGCACAAUGGAGGAAACUCUGAUGCAGCGAUGCCGCGUGAGUGAAGAAGGCCUUUGGGUUGUAAAGCUCUUUCGUCGGGGAAGAAAAUGACUGUACCCGAAUAAGAAGGUCCGGCUAACUUCGUGCCAGCAGCCGCGGUAAUACGAAGGGACCUAGCGUAGUUCGGAAUUACUGGGCUUAAAGAGUUCGUAGGUGGUUGAAAAAGUUGGUGGUGAAAUCCCAGAGCUUAACUCUGGAACUGCCAUCAAAACUUUUCAGCUAGAGUUUGAUAGAGGAAAGCAGAAUUUCUAGUGUAGAGGUGAAAUUCGUAGAUAUUAGAAAGAAUACCAAUUGCGAAGGCAGCUUUCUGGAUCAUUACUGACACUGAGGAACGAAAGCAUGGGUAGCGAAGAGGAUUAGAUACCCUCGUAGUCCAUGCCGUAAACGAUGUGUGUUAGACGUUGGAAAUUUAUUUUCAGUGUCGCAGCGAAAGCGAUAAACACACCGCCUGGGGAGUACGACCGCAAGGUUAAAACUCAAAUGAAUUGACGGGGACCCGCACAAGUAGUGGAGCAUGUGGUUUAAUUCGAAGAUACGCGCAGAACCUUACCAACACUUGACAUGUUCGUCGCGACUUUAAGAGAUUAAAGUUUUCGGUUCGGCCGGACGAAACACAGGUGCUGCAUGGCUGUCGUCAGCUCGUGUCGUGAGAUGUUGGGUUAAGUCCCGCAACGAGCGCAACCCUCACUUUUAGUUGCCAUCAUUUAGUUGGGCACUCUGAAAGAACUGCCAGUGAUAAGCUGGAGGAAGGUGGGGAUGACGUCAAGUCCUCAUGGCCCUUACGUGUUGGGCUACACACGUGCUACAAUGGUAUCUACAACAGGAAGCGAAACAGCGAUGUUAAGCAAAUCCUUAAAAGAUACCUCAGUUCGGAUUGCACUCUGCAACUCGAGUGCAUGAAGCUGGAAUUACUAGUAAUCGUGGAUCAGCGUGCCACGGUGAAUGCGUUCCGCGGGUCUUGUACACACCGCCCG
rnacentral:rRNA from 1 species